GUAAAAGAGAAAAAUAUAUUGUUUAAUGAUUGAAAUGCAAAGGCGUGGUAAAUGUUAUGUUAUAAAGUCUAUAUGAUUUCAUGACGAUGAUAAUGUUAUUGCUUUCAUAUGUUGUUUUCAUGGAUCUCACCGAGGUAAGUGGACAGUAAAGGUUUUUAUGUUAAUAAACGAGUUUGUUAUAAAUUAUGCUCCAUUGGUCAUUUUUAUUU
rnacentral:lncRNA from 1 species